rnacentral:rRNA from 1 species
AACGAACGCUGGCGGCAUGCCUAACACAUGCAAGUCGAACGCUCCGCAAGGGGAGUGGCGCACGGGUGAGUAACGCGUGGGAACCUGCCGAGGGGUGUGGGAUAACCGGUGGAAACGCCGGCUAAUACCGCAUACGUCCUAUGGGAGAAAGAUUCAUCGCCCUUCGAGGGGCCCGCGUCGGAUUAGCUAGUUGGCGGGGUAACGGCCCACCAAGGCGACGAUCCGUAGCUGGUCUGAGAGGAUGAUCAGCCACACUGGGACUGAGACACGGCCCAGACUCCUACGGGAGGCAGCAGUGGGGAGUAUUGGACAAUGGGGGCAACCCUGAUCCAGCAAUGCCGCGUGAGUGAUGAAGGCCUUAGGGUUGUAAAGCUCUUUCGGCGGGGACGAUGAUGACGGUACCCGCAGAAGAAGCCCCGGCUAACUUCGUGCCAGCCGCCGCAGUAAA